GAUGAACGCUGGCGGCGUGCCUAAUACAUGCAAGUCGAGCGAACAGACGAGGAGCUUGCUCCUCUGACGUUAGCGGCGGACGGGUGAGUAACACGUGGAUAACCUACCUAUAAGACUGGGAUAACUUCGGGAAACCGGAGCUAAUACCGGAUAAUAUAUUGAACCGCAUGGUUCAAUAGUGAAAGACGGUUUUGCUGUCACUUAUAGAUGGAUCCGCGCCGCAUUAGCUAGUUGGUAAGGUAACGGCUUACCAAGGCAACGAUGCGUAGCCGACCUGAGAGGGUGAUCGGCCACAUUGGAACUGAGACACGGUCCAGACUCCUACGGGAGGCAGCAGUAGGGAAUCUUCCGCAAUGGGCGAAAGCUUGACGGAGCAACGCCGCGUGAGUGAUGAAGGUCUUCGGAUCGUAAAACUCUGUUAUUAGGGAAGAACAAAUGUGUAAGUAACUAUGCACGUCUUGACGGUACCUAAUCAGAAAGCCCCGGCUAACUACGUG
rnacentral:rRNA from 1 species